UACGGGGGGGGCAAGCGUUGUUCGGAAUUACUGGGCGUAAAGGGCUCGUAGGCGGCCAACUAAGUCGGAUGUGAAAUCCCCAGGCUCAACCUGGGAACUGCAUCCGAUACUGGAUGGCUUGAAUUCGGGAGAGGGAUGCAGAAUUCCAGGUGUAGCGGUGAAAUGCGUAGAUAUUGGGAGGAACACCAGUGGCGAAGGCGGCUACCUGGACCGGUUCUGACGCUGAGGCGCGAAAGCGUGGGUAGCAAACAGG
rnacentral:rRNA from 1 species